CUUGCUCCACGGACAAGCGAGGACUGGAGUCGCGUCAUCUUUUCUGAUAAGUCUACCUUUUCCACGCGACAGGACCAGAGGGUGCGUGUUUGGCGACUCUCAGGCACCCGAUACGAUGCUCAAAACGUGCGAAGUGUGUUGUCCAGUGGGAGAACAAGCGUGAAUGUAUGGGGCUUCAUAUCCCGACAUGGCCUGGUCCCAUUGCAACGUAUCCACGGCACUUUGACCACGACCAGGCACCAGUUCACACGGGCAGGAUUGUGAAACAGUAUCUCUCAGAGAAGCAGAUCCCUGUGCUAAAGUGGUGUCCGAAAGGCGCCGACCUGAAUAUAAUAGAAAAUUUAUGGGGUCGUAUGAAAGCUGCCAUUGUGAAGAAACCGAUUUACGCCACGACUGCAGACGUCUUAUGGGCAGAAG
rnacentral:lncRNA from 1 species